UAAUUCGCUCUGGGAGCGGCCUGCGUCCUAUCAGCUAGUUGGUGGGGUAAAAGCCUACCAAGGCGAUGACGGGUAGGGGGCGUGAGAGCGUGAUCCCCCACAAGGGCACUGAGAUACGGGCCCUACACCUACGGGUGGCAGCAAGCGGGAAUUAUGCGCAAUGAGGGAAACCUUGACGCUGCGACGCCGCGUGCGGGAAUGAAGGUCGUGAGAUCGUAAACCGCUGUGGAAGGGGAAGAUAAUGACGGUACCCUUCUAGAAAGUAGCUGCCAAGCUACGUGCCAGAAGCCUCGGUCAUACGUAGACUGCAAGCGUUAUCCGGAGUUAUUGGGCGUAAAGGGUUGGGUAGGCGGUUUAGUAAGUCACAGGUUAAAUCUUACGGCUUAACCGUAAAUCUGCUUGUGAAACUGCUAGACUAGAGGAAGAUAGGGGCCGGCGGAACUGUGCAAGUAGGGGUAAAAUCCGUUGAUAUGCACAGGAACACCAAGGGCGAAAGCAGCGGCUGGGUCUUCUCGACGCUGAACCACGAAAGCUAGGGGAGCGAAACGGAUUAGAUACCCGUGUAGUCCUAGCCCUAAACAAUGGACACUAGCUCGAUGGUUUUUUACUGUCAGGCGUAAGCUAACGCGUUAAGUGUCCCGCCUGGGUAGUACGACCGCAAGGUUAAACUCAAAGGAAUUGGCGGGGGCUCGCACAAGCGGUGGAGCGCAUUGUUUAAUUGGAUGAUACGCCAAGAACCUUACCAGGCCUUGACAUGCUAGUAGUAGGAACCUGAAAGGGGAACGAUCCGCCGAAAGGUGGAAGCUAGCACAGGUGUUGCACGGCUGUCGUCAGCUCGUCUCGUGAGAGGUAGGGUUAAGUCCUAAAACGAGCGCAACCCAUAUCGUGUGUUGUAUCACUCACGCGAAACUGCCCUCGUAAGGGGGAGGAAGGUGUGGAUGACGUCAAGUCAGCGUUGCCCUUAUGGCCUGGGCGACAAAUGCGCUACAAUGACAUGGAUAAUAGGUCGCCACUUCGUAAGAAGGAGCUAAUCCCAAAACCAUGUCUCAGUUCGGAUUGGGGUCUGCAAUUCGACCCCAUGAAGCCGGAAUCGCUAGUAACCGCAUAUCAGCCAUGAUGCGGUGAAUACGUUCUCGAGCCUUGCACACACCGCCCGUCAUAUAAGCCGAGUUGGGAACAGCCGAAGC
rnacentral:rRNA from 1 species